AUGAACGCUAGCUACAGGCUUAACCCAUGCAAGUCGAGGGGAAACGACAUCGAAAGCUUGCUUUUGAUGGGCGUCGACCGGCGCACGGGUGAGUAACGCGUAUCCAACCUGCCCAUCACUUGGGGAUAACCUUGCGAAAGUAAGACUAAUACCCAAUGAUAUCUCUAGAAGACAUCUGAAAGAGAUUAAAGAUUUAUCGGUGAUGGAUGGGGAUGCGUCUGAUUAGCUUGUUGGCGGGGUAACGGCCCACCAAGGCAACGAUCAGUAGGGGUUCUGAGAGGAAGGUCCCCCACAUUGGAACUGAGACACGGUCCAAACUCCUACGGGAGGCAGCAGUGAGGAAUAUUGGUCAAUGGGCGAGAGCCUGAACCAGCCAAGUAGCGUGCAGGAAGACGGCCCUAUGGGUGGUAAACUGCUUUUAGAAGGGAAUAAAGUGAGAGUCGUGACUCUUUUUGUAUGUACCUUAUGAAUAAGGACCGGCUAAUUCCGUG
rnacentral:rRNA from 1 species